AUUGCUUCACGGCCUUUUGGCUAAGAUCAAGUGUAGUAUCUGUUCUUAUCAGUUUGACCCGGUGGUCCGAGCCAAGCAGACACGCCGGUAUUGGGCUGGUGGGGAUGGGUGCAGCAUGGAGGGGAUAGGUGUAUCGGGGUGUUCCAUGGCUUGUUCUGAGGAAUCAGCUUGACAGCUGCCCAAUGUGACCUGUU